AUUGAACGCUAGCGGCAGGCCUAACACAUGCAAGUCGAACGAGUGGCGGACGGGUGAGUACUGUCUGGGAAACUGCCUGAUGGAGGGGGAUAACUACUGGAAACGGUAGCUAAUACCGCAUCCCAUCGGAUGUGCCCAGAUGGGAUUGGCUAGUAGGGGGGGUAACGGCUCACAUAGGCGACGAUCCCUAGCUGGUCUGAAGGGAUGACGAGCCACACUGGAACUGAGACACGGUCCAGACUCCUACGGGAGGCAGCAGUGGGGAAUAUUGCACAAUGGGCGCAAGCCUGAUGCAGCCAUGCCGCGUGUAUGAAGAAGGCCUUCGGGUUGUAAAGUACUUUCAGCGGGGAGGCGUUACCCGCAGAAGAAGCAACGGCUAACUCCGUGCCAGCCGCCGCGGUAAUAC
rnacentral:rRNA from 1 species